AUGGCCCUGAAUCAAGGUUAGCAGUUUUCUGAUGCUGUUGUUUUCAAGAAGGACCCUAAAUUGGUAUCUUUCUAUGGUCUGCUGGUCAUUUCAGAACUUUAGAAAUGUAAUGGUUGAUUCAUAAGGAAAAAAAAAAA
ensembl:snoRNA